AGGUGAGCGUAGAGGUGCGUAACGCCCUUUCCGAGUUUGUGAAAGCCACGUUAGAGUCGAACGGUGACGCUUCUUGGUGUUUCAGAUAGAGGGACUGCAGUCCCGCCAGGGGGCGCCAGCGUCGCUAGCGUAGCCCGCGCGGAUCGCCGUGCGCUGCGCGCUUCUCAGCCACUUAACUUAUUCCAGAUGUUUGAACUUCCAACACAUCGGUAGCUUCCUUUUACCACACUAUCAACGGAUAAUGGGGUCGCUCAACGUCCGUGACGGGGUGUACGUAAGCUGGGCACGGAGGAAAAGUCAGGUGAGCACAGAAUGAGAAGACAGCUGCCUACAAGCCAGGAAAAUAAUCCUUACCAAGAAGCAAACCUGUCAGCACGUUGAUCUUAGACAUUCCAGCCUCCAGAAUGGUGGGACGCUCAAGUUCCCUGAGGAAGAGACACCUGAGCUGAAACCUGAUUGGGAAGAAGCCAUUCACUUGCAUCUUCAUCUGAAGACAGAGCAUCCUCCACAGAAGGAACAGCAAAGGCAGGAACCACCUGUGUCUCAGGAAUAGGAGACACCUCAGGAUAGGACCUCAGAAGGAAGUGGGAGAGGCCCCAAAAGAUCCAUCCACAUCUGGGACCUAGUCACCUACAUGGGGUCACUCUUUGCCUGAGGAACAGAACGGGCUCCAGACACCACCAGAACUCCUUUCUGUUGCUGCUGACUCUCCGCCUUUCCCAGACUCACCACCAUCAUGACAUCAUUAAUACAGUGCCCAGCAUACCAGGCCAAAAUAGCCACAACGGAUGUAAAAGAAGAAGAGGGGACGUAACAGUAACACCAGAUCCAUCAUUCCUACCGUAAAGCAUUUGUCAUUGGGGACUUGAGUAUUGGGAUUAAACAUGGCCUGGCACA